rnacentral:misc_RNA from 1 species
GAUGAAGAACGUAGCGAAAUGCGAUAAGUAAUGUGAAUUGCAGAAUUCAGUGAAUCAUCGAAUCUUUGAACGCACAUUGCGCCCCUUGGUAUUCCGGGGGGCAUGCCUGUUCGAGCGUCAUUAUAACCCCUCAAGCUCAGCUUGGUGUUGGGGCCUGCCAACUGGCAGCCCUUAAAAUCAGUGGCGGCACCAUCUGGCUCUAAGCGUAGUAAUUUCUCUCGCUAUAGGGUCCCGGUGGAUGCUUGCCAACAACCCCCAAUUUUCUAUGGUUGACCUCGGAUCAGGUAGGGAUACCCGCUGAACUUAAGCAUAUCAAUAAGCGGAGGA